UGACUCUCAUUCUAUCAGCGGGGGAGUCCAUAUCAAAGGAUAGGUUAGGCAAACACUUAAAUAAUACUAUUUUAAUAUCAAAUUAUUUUGCAUGAUUAUUCUAUGUAUAUGUAUAUAUGGAAAACUAGCAGCUUCAGAUAUGGAAAUAGCCAACGUUCCACAUUGGAGCACCAGACUCAUCCGCGAGUCCAUCGAAAUAGAGAAGAACGGUACCUUCAACAAGAGAGAUGACGCCCUGCACUUGUCAGCCACUUGGAAAACGGUCCUACACCGUCCCCGAUCCGGAGCAGCCUUCCUGAGGGAGGGGAUUUUGGGCAGACCAUAGAGUUUGGGGCACCUGCUUGAUUUUUCCCGAGGGAUUAAGGUUUUCUUGAUCUCGGGGCCUAUUGGAGAUGCCUCUAUUAUCGAUUUGGUGGUUUUUUUCCAGCUCGACCUCUAGCUCUUCCAGGGAUGCGUUCUUCUUCCGAAAGGUUUUCUUCUUAGAAGAAACAACAUAUGCUUGUAUAAAGCUAGAUCUACACGAUACGCGAACUGGUUCGCCACUUCAUUGAAGUAUCUCUAGCCAAGUACCCCUACCUCAAGUACCUCUAUCUCUAUCUCAAGUACCUCUAUCACUACCUCAAGUAUCUCUAUCUGAAGUACCUCUACCUCAAGUACUAUAAUAAAUGUUUCAAUAUUUUAUUUAGGAUGGACUUUAAUGGAAAUCCUCUACUCUCCGCUCAAGCUCGACCUUUUAAUAUAUUUUGUUUCCGUGCCUUUUAACCCCUUGUCUAAUUACUAUAUUAUUUCAAAAUAUUAAUAAAAGAUAAAGCUUGUUUACAAUUAAA